rnacentral:rRNA from 1 species
CCCUUAGAUGUUCUGGGCCGCACGCGUGCUACACUGAGUGGAUCAGCGGGUCAGGUUGCGCGAAAGUGUUUCCUAAUCUUUAAAUCCGCUCGUGAUGGGGAUUGACGGUUGCAAUUUUCCGUCAUGAACGAGGAAUACCUUGUAAGCGCGGGUCAUCAUCCCGCGCUGAAUACGUCCCUGCCCUUUGUACACACCGCCCGUCGCUCCUACCGAUUGAAUGCUCAGGUGAGCCAUUCGGACUUUCAUCAUGCUGGUUUCCAGUUUUGAUGAAGGAAAGUCUUGCGAACCUUAUCAUUUAGAGGAAGGAGAAGUCGUAACA